rnacentral:lncRNA from 1 species
GGAAUGCUCCCUUAGGAUAGGCAACUUUGUAAAUUCUCUUAAUCAUGUCCUUUCUUGUAACCUAAGCCACAUUACAACCUUUGAAAGACCUCUUGAUUCUCAUUUUUCACAUGAUUUGGUAUUUGUUGUGAUAACCGCAUGAUUUGAGUUGUUGUUGAUUUAAUUGUUUGGAUGAGUGAAAGUAACCCUUCAUGUUAUUCAUCAUUAUUAUGAUGUGUGUGUAAGUUUGAUUCAAUUU